AGCUUGGGACAGCUCCUGUGCAGGACCCACAGGGCCUCACAGCUCUGCAGAUGGGAGAGGAGAUUGGAAGAGGCUGCCUUUGCUCAGAGCAAGACCCUGAUCCUUCUGGAGCCUGCUCACCUUGUGUAUGUGCCUGCAGGAGUCCUGGACAGAGUGCCAGGGGACAGAGCCUGUGGCUUCUAAAAAGCAGCAAAGUUGGGGUGAUGUCACAGUAACACUCUGUGAUGCCCCCAUGUUCCAAGGAACUGUUUACUGUUUGCCACCCAGCCAGGAAAAGAGGGAAAGCCUGCUAUGCAGGAGGUUUUGGUAUCUUCCCUUGGCCUUGCAGGUGAGUUUUCACCUCUGCCUUAUCACUGAGGCCAAGGCCACAAGCCUGCCCUAUUCAGCAAUGGGCUCAUGUUUUCCCUCGUCUUUGCCACUUAGACAUUUAGAGAAGCCCUUGUAGCCCUUGUAGCCUGUGGCAUCCCUCAGCAGAUUCAGUUCCAAGCAAUCUUUCAAGCCUUACUGCCAAGACCCUUGUGCAGCCCAGCACACCCUUGGACUGCUGUGCUGAAGGGUGGCUUGUGCUGGCUUAUGUUCACUCAGUCCACCCUUCCCCUGCCCUUGCUGGACUGGACAGAACCGGACAGGGGCUGCUCCAGACAACCCCUGUGCAGGACCCUCAGGUUCUUGCAACUGGACAGGUGGAGCAAGCUGUGGGAGAGAGGAGGGAGCACGUCCUCAUCAACUGUGUCUGCAUGUGGUUCAAUUACUCCCAUCUACACUAUCCAGGAGCUGCAAACAGCCAGAUCAGAAGAGAAAGAAUACACAGAACUAAUAAAAUACAGAUUUGGACGUAUUUUUCUUCUAAUAUCUUUUGACAGGUAUAUUUUGCUUUGUCUCCUUAGGAAGUAUACAGAAAAUCCA
rnacentral:lncRNA from 12 species